rnacentral:rRNA from 1 species
AUUGAACGCUGGCGGCAGGCCUAACACAUGCAAGUCGAACGAGUGGCGGACGGGUGAGUAAUGUCUGGGAAACUGCCUGAUGGAGGGGGAUAACUACUGGAAACGGUAGCUAAUACCGCAUACCAUCGGAUGUGCCCAGAUGGGAUUAGCUAGUAGGUGGGGUAAAGGCUCACCCAGGCGACGAUCCCUAGCUGGUCUGAGAGGAUGACCAGCCACACUGGAACUGAGACACAGUCCAGACGCCUACGGGUGGCAGCAGUGGGGAAUAUAGCACCAUGGUCGCAAGCCUGAUGGAGCCAAGCCGCGUGUAUGAAGAAGGCCUUCGGGUUGUAAAGUACUUUCAGCGAGGAGGCGUUACCCGCAGGAGAAGCACCGGCUAACUCCGUGCCAGCAGCCGCGGUAAUUC